GUCCGGCGGUGCGGCUCGCGUGGACGGAAGGCAGCGCGCAGGCUCUACGGCAGGUGCACGGGGUGGCGGUCAAGUUCAAGCUGCCAGCCCCGGGCCCGCCGGUGCCAUGGAUGGCCUGCGCCAGCGCUUCGAGCGCUUUCUGGAACAGAGGAAUUUGGCCACCGAAGCGCUAGGGGCGCUCGAAGCCAAGACCGGUGUGGACAAGCGGUACUUGGCCGCGGGAGCCGCCGCUCUGCUAAGCCUGUAUCUUCUGUUCGGGUACGGGGCGUCUCUGCUGUGCAAUCUCAUCGGCUUUGCAUACCCCGCAUAUGCUUCGAUCAAAGCUAUCGAAAGCCCAAGCAAAGAAGACGACACUGUGUGGCUUACCUACUGGGUGGUGUACGGCCUGUUUGGGCUGGCCGAGUUCUUCAGCGAUCUACUUCUGUCCUGGUUCCCUUUCUACUACGCGGGCAAGUGCGCCUUCCUGUUGUUCUGCAUGGCUCCUGGCCCCUGGAACGGGGCUCUCGUGCUGUAUCAUCGCGUCAUACGUCCACUGUUUCUAAAGUAUCACGAGGCCGUGGACAGCAUCGCGAGCGACCUCAGCGGGCGGACCCUGGACGUGGCGGCCGGAAUAACGAGGGACAGUGCGUGCUCGCAGGGCGAGGGGUGUCUGUCUCUCCGGUCUCUGUCUGUCUGUCUGUCUCCCGGCUCCCCCUGCCCCACUCACCUUCAUUCCUGCCUGCUGUCCUCCUGACUCUGACUGGGCUCUGUCUGGCGUCUGGACCGCCUCCGCUGGGUGCUCGCUAAAUCUUCCCCUCUCACUGUCCGCCUCUGUCUCCUACGCUCUCCGGAACCAGUCCUGCAGGCCCUGGCCCGCAGCCGGGCUCUCAUCACCCCGGCGGCUGCGGCAGUGGGCCCCUCACUGCCCUCGGAGCCGACUUCAAAGCAAGCGUGACUCAGCUCCCGAAGAACAGGUGAAGUCCCUGCCCAGCCCCUGUGCAGAAAAGCCGGCCGGCCAGCUGGAGGACGCGUUACACUCCAAGUCCUCCGUGGAUUCCCCAGCCGACUCCCCAGUGGAGUCCACCACCAGCCCCUCGUCCCCAAGCAAGCCAGCCCUCAGGAGCUGCACCAACUUGGGCCACUCCCAGCCUCAAUCCCCUGCCACUGGCUCUGCCAAUGGCACCCAGCUGCCCAGCAAGCUCCGGGGUGGGCUUCUGUCUCGAGCCAACUCCUCCAUCCAGCCCCAGGCCCCAGGGCAGCCCCAGGCUCCCGGGCAGUCCCAGUCCCCCCGACAGCCCCAGGUCCACGGCCAGCAGCGCGCCCAGCCCUCCAUCAUUUCCUCUGGCCCUUCCCAGACGUCCCACCGGUCCUCAGGCUCUGCACAGCGUCCCAGCACCUCCUCCAGCCAGGGACCCCACCUUGUGCAGUCUCCCAGUGGCAUCACCAUCCCCCCUCAGCCCCCCAACAAGACCCCCGAUGGACCAGAGGCCUCAGCCCCCAAGUCCAGCAGACGGCAUCAGAAACGGCCCAUAACUAAAGCCACCAGCAGCACCUCGGUGCCCAAGCUGCCUGUCUCCUGCCAAUUCGAGUCCAGCACUGAAGUCAUGUGCAUCUGGCCCCACCACAGACACGGAUUCCACUACCGGCAGCACUGCUGGCGGCUGAAACACCUGGCCUGCUAGGGAGGGCUCAGUAAAGCUCAU